UACAGAGGGUGCGAGCGUUAAUCGGAAUUACUGGGCGUAAAGCGCGCGUAGGCGGCUUUUUAAGUCGGGUGUGAAAUCCCCGAGUUCAACCUGGGAAUUGCAUUCGAUACUGGGAAGCUAGAGUAUGGGAGAGGAUGGUAGAAUUCCAGGUGUAGCGGUGAAAUGCGUAGAGAUCUGGAGGAAUACCGAUGGCGAAGGCGGCCAUCUGGCCUAAUACUGACGCUGAGGUACGAAAGCGUGGGGAGCAAACAGG
rnacentral:misc_RNA from 1 species